rnacentral:rRNA from 1 species
CAAAUUACCCAAUCCUGACGCAGGGAGGUAGUGACAAGAAAUACUGAUACAGGGUCCUUUAGGGUCUUGUGAUUGGAAUGAGUACAAUUUAAACCCCUUAACGAGGAACAACUAAAGGGCAAGUCUGGUGCCAGCAGCCGCGGUAAUUCCAGCUUUAGUAGCAUACAUUAAAGUUGUUGCAGUUAAAACGCCCGUAGUUGAACGUUGGUUCUUGCCGGCCGGUCCGCCUCACCGCGAGCAUUGGUUUUGGCAGAACUUUUUUUUCUUGGAGAUCCGCAUGCCCUUUGCUGGGUGUGUAGGGGAACCAGGACUUUUACUUUGAAAAAAUUAGAGUGUUCAAAGCAGGCAUUAGCUCGAAUAUCUUAGCAUGGAAUAAUAAAAUAUGACAAGUGGUUAUUUUUUAUUGGUUAUAUAACCGUUGUAAUGAUUAAUAGGGAUAGUUGGGGGCAUCGGUAUUCAAUUGUCAGAGGUGAAAUUCUU